UUUACCAAAGUACCCCGGAGGGAAAGUUGCAAAGAACUUUGAAGAGAGAGUUCAAGAGGGCGUGAAACCGCUUAGAAGCAAACGGGUGGAGCUGACAUUAACUCUAUUGUAUUCAGCCUUUCAGACGGUGGACCAUUUGCAUUCGAUCGCAAGACUUAUGCAGGUUUCGUUCCGCCUAUGGUGGGUGCACUUGCAGUAGAGUUGCGUCACGACCGAUGACUUUGCUGGCAAAGACUAGUUGAUUGCCGACUGCGAGCUUGCUUGCAGAGCCCCAUCUUCUAGAUCAGUCCGAGAUAGAGUCAUCGGGUAACAACCGCGCCCGCUUCGCUCGUACUGCGUCGCUUUCUGGUGGAUCGAAACGUUGAGUUGUGCUUGCACGACUUAGCUACCCUCUGCUUUUACAGUGGCGUUGUUUCGAGUUGGUGCAUAUGGUCAGUGGCGUCCGCGUCAGCGUCCCACCCGACCCGUCUUGAAACACGGACCAAGGAGUCUAACAUGUACGCAAGUCAUGGGGUUGCAAAACCCAAAGGCGUAACGAAAGUGAAGGUCAAUUCUGUUGGCCGAAGUGAGAUCCUCAGCUCGCUGGGGCGCACCACUGUCCUAUCGCAUCUGCUUGCCAGAGCGGUGGAGAAAUAGCGCACAUGUUGGGACCCGAAAGAUGGUGAACUAUGCCUGAGCAGGAUGAAGCCAGAGGAAACUCUGGUGGAGGUCCGUAGCGGUUCUGACGUGCAAAUCGAUCGUCAGACUUGGUAUAGGGGCGAAAGACUAAUCGAACCAUCUAGACGGUG
rnacentral:rRNA from 1 species